CCUGCCUGUAAGCUCCAACCAGCAGGUAGAAUCCAGGAGUUCCAAGGUCCAAAGGGUCCUUACCCCUCAGCUGAGAAAAUAGGGAAAGCCUCAUAUUAGAUGUCAGUACACAAGUUCAGCCAAAUGCUUGCGAAAUUUCUUCUGAACACAUCCCAGGAGACUUGACCCUCCCCGCUUCAGGAUGCUGACUCUGUUUUGCCUGAAACCAGAAAAGCUCUGCUUCAGGCCUCAAACUGGAAACAACCCAAAUGUCCAUCUGUAGUAGAAUGGACCCACUGUGGCAUAUUCAUAUAAUGCAAUGCAAACCAGCAGUGAAAAAGACCGGACUGCAGCUGCCUACAACAUGAAUGCACCUCGCAGACAUGGUGUGAGACCGAAGCAGCUCAUGG